rnacentral:rRNA from 1 species
UGGGGAAUAUUGGACAAUGGGCGCAAGCCUGAUCCAGCCAUGCCGCGUGAGUGAUGAAGGCCCUAGGGUUGUAAAGCUCUUUCACCGGGGAAGAUAAUGACGGUAACCGGAGAAGAAGCCCCGGCUAACUUCGUGCCAGCAGCCGCGGUAAUACGAAGGGGGCUAGCGUUGUUCGGAUUUACUGGGCGUAAAGCGCGCGUAGGCGGACUUUUAAGUCAGGGGUGAAAUCCCGGGGCUCAACCUCGGGACUGCCUUUGAUACUGGCAGUCUUGAGUAUGGUAGAGGUGAGUUGAAUUCCGAGUGUAGCGGUGAAAUUCGUAGAUAUUCGGAGGAACACCAGUGGCGAAGGCGGCUCUCUGGACCAUUACUGACGCUGAGGUGCGAAAGCGUGGGGAGCAAACAGG